CCUACGGGUGGCAGCAGUGGGGAAUCUUGCGCAAUGGGCGAAAGCCUGACGCAGCGACGCCGCGUGAGGGAUGAAGGUCUUCGGAUCGUACACCUCUGUCAGCAGGGAAGAACGGUCACUGUGCUAAUCAGCAGUGACUUGACGGUACCUGCAAAGGAAGCAACGGCUAACUCCGUGCAAGCAGCCGCGGUAAUACGGAGGGUGCGAGCGUUAAUCGGAAUUACUGGGCGUAAAGCGCUCGUAGGCGGUAUUUCAAGUCAAGGGUGAAAUCCCCGGGCUCAACGUGGGAAGUGCCUUGUAAACUGGCAGACUGGAGUGUGUGAGAGGAUAGUGGAAUUCCAGGUGUAGGAGUGAAAUCCGUAGAUAUCUGGAGGAACAUCAGUGGCGAAGGCGACUAUCUGGCACAUAACUGACGCUGAGGAGCGAAAGCGUGGGUAGCAAACAGGAUUAGAUACCCGGGUAGUC
rnacentral:rRNA from 1 species